rnacentral:tRNA from 1 species
GGAGAGAUGGCUGAGUGGUCGAAGGCGGCGGUCUCGAAAACCGUUGAGCGUGCUAACACGUUCCCAGGGUUCGAAUCCCUGUCUCUCCGCCA